UAAUACAGAGGCCUCGAGCGUUAGGCGGAAUCACUGGGCUUAAAGCGUGUGUAGGCGGAUGUCUAAGUGCUUUGUGAAAUCCCACGGCUCAACCGUGGAAUUGCUUGGCAUACUGGAUGUCUUGAGCCAUCUAGGGGCGAGCGGAACAAGUGGUGGAGCGGUGAAAUGCGUAGAUAUCACUUGGAACGCCAACGGUGAAAACAGCUCGCUGGGGAUGUGCUGACGCUGAGACACGAAAGCCAGGGGAGCGAACGGGAUUAGAUACCCCGGUAGUCCUGGCCCUAAACGAUGUCGACUAGAUCGUGGAACCUCUGACGGUUUCACGGUCGAAGCAAAAGUGCUAAGUCGACCGCCUGGGAAGUACGGUCGCAAGGCUA
rnacentral:rRNA from 1 species